GGGAAUUUAGCUCAGCGGUAGAGCACUUGCCUAGCAAGCGCAAGGCCCUGGGUUCGGUCCCCAGUUCCG
rnacentral:tRNA from 1 species